ACAGCAGUAGCCGCGGGAACACCAGCACCUCGAGUGGUCAGGAGGUUUAUUGGGCCUAAAGCAUCCGUAGCCGGUUGCAUAAGUUUUCGGUUAAAUCUAUGCGCUUAACGUAUAGGCCGCCGAAAAUACUGUGCAGCUAGGGAGUGGGAGAGGUACACGGUACUCGAUAGGAAGGGGUAAAAUCCUUUGAUCUAUUGAUGACCACCUGUGGCGAAGGCGGUGUACCAGAACACGUUCGACGGUGAGGGAUGAAAGCUGGGGGAGCAAACCGGAUUAGAUACCCGCGUAGUCCCUGUCUCUUAUAA
rnacentral:rRNA from 1 species